rnacentral:rRNA from 1 species
CGAACGGGUGAGUAACGCGUGAGGAACCUGCCUCAGAGAGGGGGACAACAGUUGGAAACGACUGCUAAUACCGCAUAAGCCCACGGGUCGGCAUCGACCUGAGGGAAAAGGAGCAAUCCGCUUUGAGAUGGCCUCGCGUCCGAUUAGCUAGUUGGUGAGGUAACGGCCCACCAAGGCGACGAUCGGUAGCCGGACUGAGAGGUUGAACGGCCACAUUGGGACUGAGACACGGCCCAG